rnacentral:rRNA from 1 species
UAUCUCUGUAGAGUCUGCAUAUCAAUAAGCGGAGGAAAAGAAAACUAACUAGGACUCCCUCAGUAACGGCGAGUGAAGCGGGAAGAGCUCAAAUUUGAAAUCUUCAAGGUUCUACCUUGACGAAUUGUAGUUUAAAGAAGUGUUUUUCUGUUGGAGUUUUGGUAAAAGUUCUUUGGAAUAGGACAUCAUAGAGGGUGAGAAUCCCGUAUUUGACCAUUAUUUCCAACUUUGUGAUACACUUUCAAAGAGUCGGAUUGUUUGGGAAUGCAGUCCAAAAUGGGUGGUAAAUUUCAUCUAAAGCUAAAUACUGGCGAGAGACCGAUAGCGAACAAGUACCGUGAGGGAAAGAUGAAAAGAACUUUGAAAAGAGAGUUAAACAGUACGUGAAAUUGUCAAAAGGGAAGCGUUUGACACCAGUGUUGUUUUUCUCGAAGAUCAAUUAAAAAAUGGCUAGGAUUUUGUGUUGUAUUGACUUUAUCAGCUUUCUGCACUUUUUUCUUGUCUUUUUUAAUGCACUUUUCGUUUAACAAGUCAACAUCAAUUUCUUUUGUUGUAAAAGGGUCAUUGGAAGGUGGCUUUCUUUUCGGAGAAAGUGUUUAUAGCCUUUGGCCUCUGCAAUCGGAGAGAUUGAGGUCUGCAGCGUAGAUCCUUCGGGGUUAGAUACAUUUGUGCUAAGUUAUAGCCUUUCAUAGACAACUUGUUGACUAUGAUCAGUCAUGUAGCUUACUCGCUUAUGUCUAUUUUACCUACGCUUAGGAUGUUGACGCAUGAGAUAUACGC